rnacentral:rRNA from 1 species
AUUGAACGCUGGCGGAAUGCUUUACACAUGCAAGUCGAACGGCAGCACGGACUUCGGUCUGGUGGCGAGUGGCGAACGGGUGAGUAACAUAUCGGAACGUAUCCAAUAAUGGGGGAUAACGAGUCGAAAGAUUCGCUAAUACCGCAUACGCCCUACGGGGGAAAGCUGGGGACCUUCGGGCCUGGCGUUAAUGGAGCGGCCGAUAUCUGAUUAGCUAGUUGGUGAGGUAAAGGCUCACCAAGGCGACGAUCAGUAGCUGGUCUGCGCGGACGACCAGCACCACUGGAACUGAGGCACGGUCCAGGCUCCUGCGGGAGGCAGCAGUGGGGAAUUUUGGACAAUGGUCGCAAGCCUGAUCCAGCUAUUCCGCGUGAGUGAAGAAGGCCUUCGGGUUGUAAAGCUCUUUCGCAAGGGAAGAAAACUUAGCCACUAACAUUGGUAGAGGUUGACGGUACCUUGAUAAGAAGCACCGGCUAACUACGAGCCAGCCGCCGCGGUAA